CUGCCAAGGGAAUGGCUUGGUAGCUAUGUACGGAAUGGAUGAGCGCUGAAAGCAUCAAAACGCGAAGCCAACUUAAAGAUAAGAUUUCCCACCGAAAGGGUAAGACGCCAGAAAGAAUAUCUGGUUGAUAGGUCGAAAGUGUAAGUGCGGCAAUGUAUUUGGCUUAUCGAUACUAGUAGGUCGAGGACUUGACCAAU
rnacentral:rRNA from 1 species